ACUCCUACGGGAGGCAGCAGUGGGGAAUAUUGCACAAUGGGGGAAACCCUGAUGCAGCCAUGCCGCGUGUGUGAAAAGGCCUUCGGGUUGUAAAGCACUUUCAGUAGGGAGGAAGGUAGUGUAGUUAACACCUGCACUUAUUUGACGUUACCUACAGAAGAAGCACCGGCUAACUCCUGCCAGCAGCCGCGGUAAUACGGAGGGUGCAAGCGUUAAUCGGAAUUACUGGGCGUAAAGCGUGCGCAGGCGG
rnacentral:rRNA from 1 species